UAAACGACUCUCGGCAACGGAUAUCUCGGCUCUGGCAUCGAUGAAGAACGUAGCGAAAUGCGAUACUUGGUGUGAAUUGCAGAAUCCCGUGAACCAUCGAGUUUUUGAACGCAAGUUGCGCCCGAAGCCAUUAGGUUGAGGGCACGUCUGCCUGGGCGUCUCAC
rnacentral:rRNA from 4 species